rnacentral:misc_RNA from 1 species
AAGUCGUAACAAGGUCUCCGUUGGUGAACCAGCGGAGGGAUCAUUACUGAGUUUAUCUAAACUCCCAACCCUUUGAGAACUUACCUUAGUUGCCUCGGCGGAAGCGUCGCCCUGGGAUGGCCUACCCUGUAGUGCCGUACCCUGGACGCCGCACCGUCAAAGGACCUUCUAAACUCUGUUUUAUUGUGGCACUUCUGAGGAUGAUUUUUAAUCAAUUAAAACUUUCAACAACGGAUCUCUUGGUUCUG